rnacentral:rRNA from 1 species
ACGGGCCCGCACAAGCGGUGGAUGAUGUGGUUUAAUUCGAUGCAACGCGAAAAACCUUACCCACCUUUGACAUGUACGAAUCCUUUAGAGAUAGAGGAGUGCUCGAAAGAGAACCGUAACACAGGUGCUGCAUGGCUGUCGUCAGCUCGUGUCGUGAGAUGUUGGGUUAAGUCCCGCAAACGAGCGCAACCCUUGUCAUUAGUUGCUACAUUCAGUUGGGCACUCUAAUGAGACUGCCGGUGACAAACCGGAGGAAGGUGGGGAUGACGUCAAGUCCUCAUGGCCCUUAUAGGUGGGGCUACACACGUCAUACAAUGGAUGGUACAAAGGGUCGCCAACCCGCGAGGGGGAGCCAAUCCCAUAAAGCCAUUCGUAGUCCGGAUCGCAGUCUGCAACUCGACUGCGUGAAGUUGGAGUUGCUAGUAAACGCAGGUCGGCCAUACUGCGUUGAAUACGUUCCCGGGGCUU